UGUUCAGCCUUAAAGACAAGAAGUACAACACGCUCAUAUGAUAGCAGAGUACAGUAUAGUACAUUACAAUAUAGUAUAAUUCACUCUGUGGAGCCAGUCACUGAGAACGCUCACGAUUGCCUAGCCGAAAUUCAUAUUUCCUCGAGCUCAAAUGUGAAGUUUCUAGACGUUCCAUCUGAAAGAUGAUCUCUGUACUAACAGGCAACAGUGGAUGAUAAUCGGAGUGUGAUAUUUGUGCUCAAAACAAUGUCAGAAAGGGAAAAUCAGUAUCAAGAGGGCACAGAUCAAUGCCAGAAAGGCCGUUAAAGCGCUCGGUGAUAGACAGGUUUAGCAGAUGGGGGGAGGCAGUGCCAUCAGAAGACUGCUGGAACAGUGAUUACAUUUUUUCUUUGACCAGAGAGGUAGUUCCUAGAUCUGGCAUACCAUCUCAAGUUUAACGCACUUUGUGCUGACACAGAAAUAUGUCUCCAACACCGCAUGAAAUGCUUACGGGUCGACCCAUGUCUGUGUCUGUUCCUUAUGAAGGACUGCCGCUGGAGUAACUGCAGAUGGAACCAAGAGCAUAUAUGAGAUAACUAACUGCUGUGUAUGAAGCUAUCUAUUCACAGGAACAGAGCUGGGUGCAUUGUUAUGGGUGAGGCGUUACCGCCUCAACGGGGGGUGGCGGUCACCUUGAGCAGCGAGAGAAUGGCUGAAGCAACUGACUACGAGGACAUGAGACCCCCGACCUGUGAGGCAGGGGACACGUGAAGGUCCUGUACGAAGCCGUCAACGGGGGGUCUGCCCUCAAGAGACAUUUCCGCAGCACUCUCAAUUCAAUGGCAGGCCAGGAUGAGAAGACGAUGUGAUGAGCCAUGCCCUGGGUGUAAGUGCUAGCCUAACCUCUCCCCAAGGGUGGCCCAAGCGUACGUAAAGUGCCUGGGCUGAAGACAACCAGCAUACAGAGAGAUACUGCCAACAGAGACGGUCAAUUUGAGUUGUUAUAAAACGUUUGUGAUAUGACGUGAUGUGCAACGAAGUGUGACGCAAUCAGGCACGAGAAAAGUAUAACGGUGCUGUCAGGGUGGGAAUUCUUCCUCCGUAGAGGUUUUUUCGCCCACCCCUGAGUGCGAGAUUUGAUUUUUGGGGAGAAGCAACACACUGCGCGGUCCCGACAAAUACAAAUCUGAGGGCUGACCGGCCCAGUUGAGAAAGAUAGGGACGUGUAGAUCCAAUAUUCGUAUUAGCCACUCAUACUAACACUGUUUAGGGGGUACACAGUUAAUCAACAUGUAAUCAAAGGAGUCAGGGGUCAAAACAACAUAUUCGUGUAGUCUGUGAGGCUUUAAAGCCUCAGAGGGGGAAGUGUUGUAUAUAAAAUAGACAUGAAAUAAACACGAGGGAGACCUAGUAUGAGUAAUAUGUAAUCUUAUUGAGAAUUCACCGGGCUGGUGGACUGUAUGAACAGAUGUUCACCUAAGACACAACACACAGAUAAGCAAGGCGCAAACCAUACAUGUAUUUGAUUAGUGCGGCAGGCCUCAGAGCGUAGGUGGACGCUCAACUAACAGACACGCACACACAUACAGAAGGAAAACAGAACAUUAUAAGAAUAAUAAAAGGAGUAUUAAGAUAUUAUAAGGAUAAUAUAAUGACAUUAUGAAGUAGGGAGUACAGUAAACCACUUGCAAGCAUUAUAACUAAUAUAUAUAUAUAUAUAUAUAUAACAGAAGUGUAGAGCAAAUAUGAAAGGGAAUUAUAAACCAGAAAUACAGCAAAAUGUGAAAGAAACUUAUUCAUAAUAUACUUGGAGGUGGGGAAGAGUCUUGUCUCACGAGAAGAAGUCAGGAGUAAUACAGACGAAGGCCUUAAUUUUUAAAAGAGAACCAAGAGGGGCCAUUUAUAAAAGGGUAGUUGAGUCACGCUGCACCCGCGAGAUAACUGCGAGACCAAGGUCUCUCCGAAAUGUUGUGUCCCGUACCUCUUUCAAACCUAAUAGUGUUCGGAAAAGGCUCUUUUCAAAACAUACUGGUAAUUUUGAUAAGCCCUUUCUAAAACCUACUGGUAAUGUUGAUAAGCCCUUUCUAAAACAGAAGGGUAAUGUUGAUAAGCCCUUUCUAAAACACAUUGGUGUCUGGGUCAUCCUGACCCUAAGAAAACUGUAUAAAUAGAAGAGCUUCAGCUCUGGUUUUUUAGAUCGCAUUUUGGGGCGUCUCAAACUGUGGGGAUCUCGUGUGGUGGAACGGAACGAAUAAACCUGGACCCUUGCUUCUUCUCACUCACGGCUGGUGUCUUAUUUUUCUUGCUCCAAUUGAAUAUCACAGCUCCGGUUUGUGUUCUCUUAACGAUGAUCCCGAACGGCUGUUUGGAGAACUCCACUGUGUACAAGGGAUUCGGAGCUCGUUUUUCCACCACAGGAACAUCUAUAGGAACCUCGAACCUCUGCUGUGCGGGAUCUGUUAUCUGAGGAACAGAGAUGAUCAUUAAAACAAUCAAACAUUCUAAUCAGGAGCGUGGGACCGAAGAUGUCCACGCUAUUGGGUUUUCUUAUUUGUAAUGGUCACUGUGGUUUCUAUGUAACCAGAACACAAGAUUGGGCAGAACGUCGGAGUUUCUCCUCAUACGCAAUGCGUUAGCUAACAAACUGAUGACGAAAACAAAGCUAGCAAGCAAGCAAAUAAAAACAAAGCUCUUACUUUUACACGCAGUCUGCUGUUCGACUCGUACAGCACAUCCAGCCUCAGCACCUCAAUAUCCAUAGGAUAAUACGUCUUCUGAGUACGGACCAGUUUCCCGAUCGAUCCCGUCUCGGUGUCGUUAAUAGCCGCUAGCGUAUACGAUGGAAAAUCUGUUGGAUAAUAGCACCACGGGACACCGCUCUGCUCACUGGCUGCACGUGCAAAGCAACAGUUUCUGGAGUGACACAUGUCCUCAGUCACCACAACACCUCUCUCCGGAUAGCAGUCGAACCUCCAGGAUUCUGGAAUAACGGAGCAGGAUUCCGGUCGUGUCCGGUUGUCUUUGCCGGGUGACGGAGGCCGGUGGAUUCCUAUGGAAGCGGUACUACGCAGCCAAAGCACGGUUCCUAGUAACCAGACACCGAGGACUACGAGGAUAAAGCCUCCUAGGGUCAACAGGGCAGAAGUGACGGAGCACUGAGGCCUCCGGGCCAGCAGAGGGCGCUCUGCAUCUUCCACCUUCAGCUCACUGUCCUGAGAAUCAUCAUGAGACUGCAGUAAAGGCACGCCGGAGAAGUUGACCUCCUCUGGGGUCAGCCUCUUAUACGACACCAUGGUGUGGAGCUGAAGCCGAGACGAGAGUUCGAAUCAGAACAUAACAUUAAAACACAAACGGAUAAAAAAUACGACGUGUUCUUUAAUGAAAUACAAAUCGAGUUUCAAUCGAAUGCGGCACGUUUUCCUACAACGCCCCCAAGUGUUCUAUUCCCGACAUUACAUUUACAUCGACUAUUCCCACAUCUCCGUCUCAUCAGCUACAGAUGUGUUAAAGUGACUGCAGUCCCUCAUCAUGCUGUCAGGGGAUGUCUGUGAUGACGGCGAGUUUCUGACCCACGCACUGUGUCAGUAAUCCAGAAUCUCCUCUACAGGCAGAUAUGUGUGUAUGUAUAUAAAUAUAUAUCCUGCUUUUUUUUUUUUCCAGAAGAAUCAAAGACAGACUAGACACCAAAAAGCCAAACCCCGCCAGUAAAUCUGCACUUGACCUUGUUCUCUCAGCGGGCCGUCUCAAUCUGCUGCAUUAUAUAUAGCAGAACUACAGACGCGCACGUCUGCGCUGGAUCUCGACGCCCUGUUGGAGGACGUUCAUUAAUUGUGAUGUCAGAUCUUUUUGAAGAAACGAUGAUGUGUCGUGUUCUCGCACCCGCUGAUCGGAGCGUGUGCGGACGAGGGUUCGGUAACUGCUGAUGGUGAAAGCACUCGUCCUCGAGGGACCCGUCUUCACCUCCCUCACGUACCGGACUCGUCCGAUCAGCAGACGCGAACGUGGGAUGGACUGCAGACUCCUUUCAGAGUUCUCCCAAAUAUCAUUCCAUCCUAAAUGAGCCGGUGAAGACGCACGGAGCUUACGGCCGCUGGUUUCCAUCGCUCCCAUCACACUUCACACUGCUUUUGCCCGGUAUAUGGUGGAGAUAAACGUAAUGAGCAGACGUGCGCGUGUAAACUUUCACACGCCCAAUAAAAAUCCAGUGUGUUUAAUCACUUCUUGUGUGCUGUGUUAGUGAUUUAUUCCUCUCAUACAACCAAUAAAA